AAAUAUUAGGGCUGUCUCCAGCAGCUGUGAGUCAAGACCUUGUCAGGAAAACAUGACUGUGUGAUUUUAUUUGGGAAUUGCUAAGAUAACUGCAGCAAAAGCGCAGACAGAGUUGAUGGAGUUCUUUCUUAGCAAAUUGUUGUAGUCAUGUCAUGCUCUCAUGCUGGUGUCUCUUACGCAGCUAGCAGAAAUGCCUAUCCUCUUAUAUUGCGACACUUUACUGAUUGUUAAGGUUGUCUUUUGAUUGAUCAACAUAGACUCAUGCUUACUGGGAAGAAUUUUGUUAUGUUCAUCUUUUUCUGUAUGUUUCAUGUGGUCUUUCACUGUGAUAUCUAGAUGCCCUCUAUAAACAUCAUGCAUCUCUUUCUUAUGAGGUAAUAUAAUCUUAGAACCAGUCAAAGCACUGUUUCAUUUUUGUUUUUUUAUAGUUUGGUAAUUGUAAUUAAGGUGAGUGUCACUGUUUGA